ACGGAGCUCCGUAAGCUAGCAGAAAACAAUCCCUCUCUUUUGGAGCCGGUUUUCUGCUGGGGUCCCCUUGGAGGUAGAGUAAUCCAAGCUGGAGAAAGGAAGGCUACAUCUGGGAAUUUUCUGAGGAGAAUGGGAAAAGAUCAGUAAAGAAACUCAGGAAAGAGCAGAUGUAUCAUCCCAAAGGAAUGAUCAGGGAUCACACUAACAGAGUAAAGAUCGUGACUGUUCCUGAGAGAUUGCAGCUUUAUACCUUCAGGCCACCAACAAAAAGUAGCACCUUGCUGCAUGACCAGAAAAGAAGAUAUCCAGUGAGAAUGAGGAUGUGAGAAUCUGGGCCUUAUUAAUAUGCUGUGUACAUGGUACAACUUCGAAAUGAGGUAUUUAUAAAAUUGUGUGUGUUGCAAGGCCAAAACCAUCGCUUACAUGAUAAUAUCGUAUGCAAGUGACUUGGGAGCAAGCUCUAUGUUAGAAGAAAAUACACUUUUGUAUACCACAGUUUCAGUUCGUAAGAAUGGAAGGCCUUUUGAUUAUCAGGACUAGACCAUCCUGUUCAACCAGAAGGCAGUUGAAGUUUGUGUUGACUUGAUUUACCCUUAAUGCAGUGCACUAUUUUGCUUUGGCAAGUGACAGAGGUGUUUAUUUCAUGAACGCAUAAUAACCUUACCUGUGAAAAUUUUGUGUUAAAACUCCUGAGUUGUUAGGCAAGAACUGACAGAAGACCUAGUCACUGUCACAGCUUGGACUGUGUGCUCCAAAAGCAUCUCUAAUAAGAGAAAGACUGAUGAUGGAAAGAAAAAGGAUUAUUUAUUUGUUAUACUUCGAUCAUUCUGCUUGCUGAAGACAAGUUACAUUUAGUCUGCUCUGACCAAAAGCAAUUUCUUUGGUAAUCAACACUGAGGAAAGGCACCCAAGAGCACAGGAUUCACAGAGCAGCACAGAUGCCAUUCUCAGCAGGCUUCCAGAAAAAAGAAAACUGUGCAGAAUAAAAUAGAAAUGAAUUCAUCAUUACAGCCUACAAGGACAAUAAAAUGCUAUGGGGAAUAUAAGAGUAAAAUCUGAGAACAUAUAGAUGGAAAAUUCUGUGACAGAAGGUUAAAGAGCUUACUGAAGAAUUUGUGAAGAGCAUUGCUCCCACUCCUGGGCAGCUGGUUUUCUAUAUGAAUGGUUCUUCCGUUUGCUGAUAGCCUGACAUCUGUCAUUUGCUCCCUUAAGUGUGAUUCUUUCUUCUUGUGGAUAUUACAAGUAGAAAAGUUGUAUGUGCUCCACAUCCAUGAAACAGCAAAGAAUUAAGGGCUUUGCCUGCAAAGGGACUCCAGUACAGCAAUGUUCAGUUUCGAGGAACUUAGUUGAGGAACUGCUUAAUCUGUUCUCUGUGACAGAAUCUACAGAAUCAGUUUGGUGUAAAAUUGUUCAAUGCAAGCUUAUAGGUGCUUGUGUAAGUAAUGAGUUUAAAAUGACUAAAUUAUCCCAUAAGAAAUGCUAGAAUAAAAUGUAUCUUUAGAUUUGAAAA